rnacentral:rRNA from 1 species
AUGACAUACUCCAUCACCGCUGCAUCGAAGGGCAAUGUGAUCCUGCCAUCGCAUGUAAACCCUAACUCCUCCUGGGGCAUGCUUAGCAGCUCGCCGAAGAUUGUCUUGGUGAGGCAAGUCAAGGAGAACUUAAGCCUCCUGGCAUUGGCCAUGUACACCGCGCAGUGGCCUUUAUCUGUGACCUGUGGUGUCGUGCAGCCUGCUUCGUUGUCGCUGGAUGUUGUCCUGACCCUUUGCCACUUCCUCACCAACUGA